GAAGUUGAUGUUUGUUUGUUUUAACUACCUUUCCAUAAUUCUGUCCAUCUUGUAGGUCUUUGGACAUAGGAAAUCAAAUGAGUGCUCCCGAGGAGACAAACGUUGCACAUGCUGGAAGUCAGCAGAUUGACAAGGUCUUUAACAACAUUGGAGCAGACCUUCUAACUGGUGGUGAAUCAGA